rnacentral:rRNA from 1 species
GACGAACGCUGGCGGCGUGCUUAACACAUGCAAGUCGAACGGAAAGGCACUGCUUUUGUGGGGUGCUCGAGUGGCGAACGGGGGAGUAACACGUGAGUAACCUGCCCUUGACUUUGGGAUAACUUCAGGAAACUGGGGCUAAUACCGGAUAGGAGAUCCUGCUGCAUGGUGGGGGUUGGAAAGUUUCGGCGGGUGGGGAUGAACGCGCGGCUUAUCAGCUAGUUGGUUGGGUAGUGGCUUACCAAGGCUUGGACGGGUAGCCGGCCUGAGAGGGUGACCGGCGACAUUGGGACUGCGGUACGGCCCAGACUCCUACGGGAGGCAGCGGUGGGGAAUAUUGCCCAAUGGGCGGAAGCCUGAGGCAGCAGCGCCGCGUGCGGGAUGACGGCCUUCGGGUUGUAAACCGCUUUCGCCUGUGACGAAGCGUGAGUGACGGUAAUGGGUAAAGAAGCACCGGCUAACUACGUG